CAGCACCUCAAGUGGUCAGGAUGAUUAUUGGGCCUAAAGCAUCCGUAGCCGGCUCUGUAAGUUUUCGGUUAAAUCUGUAUGCUCAACAUACAGGCUGCCGGGAAUACUGCAGAGCUAGGGAGUGGGAGAGGUAGACGGUACUCGGUAGGAAGGGGUAAAAUCCUUUGAUCUAUUGAUGACCACCCGUGGCGAAGGCGGUCUACCAGAACACGUCCGACGGUGAGGGAUGAAAGCUGGGGGAGCAAACCGGAUUAGAUACCCGCGUAGUCC
rnacentral:rRNA from 1 species